UACGUAGGUGGCAAGCGUUGUCCGGAUUUAUUGGGUUUAAAGGGUGUGUAGGUGGCGCGGCUAAGUCGGGUGUGAAAUUUCGGAGCUUAACUCCGAAACUGCAUUCGAUACUGGCGUGCUUGAGGACUGGAGAGGAGACUGGAAUUCAUGGUGUAGCAGUGAAAUGCGUAGAGAUCAUGAGGAAGACCAGUGGCGAAGGCGGGUCUCUGGACAGUUCCUGACACUGAGACACGAAGGCCAGGGGAGCAAACGGG
rnacentral:rRNA from 1 species